UAUAAAUAACUUAUGUUAUAGCUUUUGUUUGUAGAAAUGUAACUUACAUAUUUUAUUAUGCUUUCUGUAAACCUCAAAAAGAAUUGUGUCAAAGCAAUGCCUCUUAACAGCAGUCUCCACCCUGGUACAUAAAACCUACAGCAGCAUUAUUUUUUAAUAGGGUGAGGAAGCGUGUUAUCCUGCCGCAGUGAGAGGUUCGCUGCCAUCGUCAGCUCCUUGUGCAUCGAAACAUUGCCCAAGCCCAGGAAUGACUGUGUGAGGUGCUCAGCAUUCCUGCAGCUCAGGCCCUUUGGCUGAAAUCCUUUCUCAAGCUGAGCUCAAAUGUGAGCAGCAAACUGACAGAACACCUUCCUCCAGCUGUACUUCCUGCCCCUGGGAAAUGUGCAGAAAAGUAACAAUUGCAAAGAAGAAAACUGGAAAAGCCCUGAAAUAAAUACAGGUAUGAACUUUUCCUCCCUGUUGGCCACAAUUAAUAAUUCCCAUUUUUAUCUAAGCAGUGGUGAAAUGUUAUUGAAUUCACAAAUAUCAGCAAACGUGACAAACAUGUGAAAUCUUUUUUUUUUUCCUCGGGUGAAAUAAACCCAACUCAAUCCCAAAGCAGGUUUUUAAUCGCACGUAAUAGAUAUUCUACGUAAUAAACAGAGUUAUUGCUUAAGCUUUUUUUUUUUUCCUCAGGUGAAUUAAACCCAACUCAAUCCCAAAGCAGGUUUUUAAUCGCACAUAAUAGAUAUUCUACAUAAUAAACAGAGUUAUUGCUUAAGCUGUUCUGAUUUUUUUAGGUCUUCUUUCAAUUUUUUUUUGCAUGUCCCCAGCCAGCAGAGGCCCUCCUGCCCAGCACAGGACACCCACUGCUCCCCAGUGAGAAUGAACCGUUCUGAUGACCCUGUGCCCACGUACUUGGCAAGGUUCCUGAGCAGUCUGAUAUUGCACUCCAGAGGAAUAUUGCCUGCAUUCCACAAAUUUCAGGAGCUGUAG
rnacentral:lncRNA from 1 species